rnacentral:lncRNA from 1 species
UGGCAGCAUAAGAAAAAGAAGAAAAAAAGUGCAUAGAAUUCUGCCUUGAACAUCACUGUCCACGGGCUGCCUUCAAAAGACAGAAGGGCUCUACCACGGAAUGCCUGUUUCAGAUUUAAAAAAUAACCUGCUGAGAUAUGCUGGCAGGGCUUCCUUCAGCAGCCACAAGAAGCUUCUCAGGUGAGAAGAAACCCACUGCUGUUAGCACUAUAGAUUUCUUUAAGGUCACAGGCCUCUUCCAAUUAGGGGUAUCAUCCAUCUCUGGUGGCCUUUCCCUCCUGAAGCUGGGGAAAUAUUUCCUCCCCCUCCAACCCAUUUACCACCCGCUCCAUAUAACCGCCUUGAAGACCUCUUUGGGCUUGAAGAAUAACUUAAGACAGUUUUCCUAUUGAGUGCUGAACAUUUGCCUCCCCCUCCCCCUCCAGCCUGUCACUCUUUCCGGGCUUGUGACUGCUUCAGAAUUGUGAACUUCAAAUUUCCCCACUGUUUUGUUGAUCCUGGGCUUUUGAUUCAAGGGCCUGUCUGGCAGGAGAUGGCCUAAGCACAUCAGCAAUAGCAGAUGACAAAUGCCAAAACAGAAAGAAAAUAGGAUACAAAUGAUUUCCUCCUACAUAUUUACAUUUACCUGCUCCAGAGAUUGUGCAUUUGGGGUUCUACCCGUUAUUAAGUAGGAGCCUACGUUAUGCCUAUAAUGACCUCAUCAUGCUGCGUGAUUAUGGGCUGCAGCCGCCAAACACUUUCAGACGACACUGUGAACUUUAAAUUGGCACUCCAAUCUCCCAGUGGCCUGUCAGUCAUGAGAAUCGCGUCUUUAUGCCAGCAAGCCCCUUGGAUGGAGUCUGACAUUGCAAUCUUCAGUAAAUUACCCUGUCACUGACAAUCUUGCAGUUAUCUCGCAAACAAUCAAGCAGGCAAUCAAACUGUUCUGAAUUGCCAGUUCAGGACCUGAGAGGUGGCCGAUGUCUCCAUUCAACAGCAGAGGGAAAGCGGCCUGGCCCUCCUAUGACAAUGGACGAUUUCUUUAUUUAUUUAUCUACCUACUUAUUUGUUAGUCUGGUUGGCUUUUUCCUGGGGAAGGGGGUGAGGAUGGUAGGAGAGGUUUGCAGAGUCCUCAAAAAGGGCCCAAUACUGACUCAGCGGUUAUGGGAAAGCGACUUAGGCCUUCUGAAUCAGCCCACACUGCGGUGGCUCAUGUCUGCUUAAUCUUACUUCACUCAGUGAAACGGGGCCAAAAAGAAUUAUCUAGGUGUUUUCUGUCAGAACGGACGCUAAAUCACAGCUCUGGUUCUAGUCUACUCAUACACGUCAUAAGCUAAUUGUAAUGACAAUUUCAGAGAAAUGUGAUCAUGGAGAAACUUUCUGGGAAUGAUACCAAGGCAUUCUAUUUAUUGCUUUUGAUAAAGCAAAUCAGAGAGAUUCUUCCAUAACAGUUCUGGCAACGUGAAACAGGUUCAUUAAUGCUGAAUUGAAACCUUUGGAUUAGAAGUCCCAAGGUAAAAAGCCAAAAAUUCUACACAGCAUCAGAGGUGACAGCCUGGCCUCUGGAAUCAGAUGGAUUUGGGUUUGAAGCUCGUCUCUGCUAGUUCCCUGGCUGUGUGAGCUUGGAAAGGAGGGGUGACGCUUCCUUCCCCAAGGAAGUCUGAAGACAAGGCAGUGGACACCCAUCAACAGGGGAAAGAGAAAAUGAAUGAAUGGGAGCUCUGUAAACCACAUCAGCAACCUCGAAAAUGUCCAACUGCAAAGACCCAUGUCUACAAAUUGCUGUCAGCCAGAGGAAUGGCUGUAACUUCCUUGGUGCCGAGAGAUGGGAUUUCACUAUGUUGGCCAGACUGGUCUCGAACUCCUGACCUCGUGAUCCGCCCGCCUUGGCCUCCUGAAGUGCUGGAACUAUAGGCGUGAGCCACCGUGCCCGGUCAAGAUAAUUUCUUAUAGGACAACAGGACAGGAUCACCCAGGAAAAGAUGGACUCCCUGCUCAGUUCCUACUUACAGUAUCUGAGUCACUUAACUAAAUGCAAUCGGCCCAGCUGCAGGCACCACUGCUCGGGCCACUAUAAGAACCAGCCCCUGAGCUUCCGGACAGGAAACAGCAUCUGCAUUUCCAGACUGUAGCAGCUCAUCAUGCCAGGCUCCACAGGCAAGAAUCAAGCAGAUGGAAGCUACAGAGGAAACAAACAGGGUU